GGGUUGUGAGGUUAAGCGACUAAGCGUACACGGUGGAUGCCUAGGCAAUCAGAGGCGAUGAAGGACGUGCUAAUCUGCGAAAAGCGUCGGUAAGGUGAUAUGAACCGUUAUAACCGACGAUAUCCGAAUGGGGAAACCCAGUGCAAUCCGUUGCACUAUCGUUUGAUGAAUACAUAGUCAAACGAAGCGAACCGAGGGAACUGAAACAUCUCAGUACCUCGAGGAAAAGAAAUCAACCGAGAUUCCCCUAGUAGCGGCGAGCGAACGGGGAACAGCCCAGAGUCUUAAUCAGCAUUAGCAUCAGGAGAACGGUCUGGAAAGGCCGGCAGUAUAGGGUGAUAGCCCCGUAUCCGAAGGUGUUAGUGUUGUGAACUCGACGAGUAGGGCGGGACACGUGUUAUCCUGUCUGAAUAUGGGGGGACCAUCCUCCAAGGCUAAAUACUCCUGAUUGACCGAUAGUGAACCAGUACCGUGAGGGAAAGGCGAAAAGAACCCCGGCGAGGGGAGUGAAAUAGAACCUGAAACCGUGUACGUACAAGCAGUGGGAGCCUUGAUUUAUCAGGGUGACUGCGUACCUUUUGUAUAAUGGGUCAGCGACUUAUAUUCUGUAGCAAGGUUAACCGUAUAGGGGAGCCGUAGGGAAACCGAGUCUUAACUGGGCGAAUGAGUUGCAGGGUAUAGACCCGAAACCCGGUGAUCUAGCCAUGGGCAGGUUGAAGGUUGGGUAACACUAACUGGAGGACCGAACCGACUAAUGUUGAAAAAUUAGCGGAUGACUUGUGGCUGGGGGUGAAAGGCCAAUCAAACCGGGAGAUAGCUGGUUCUCCCCGAAAGCUAUUUAGGUAGCGCCUCGUGAACUCAUCUUCGGGGGUAGAGCACUGUUUCGACUAGGGGGUCAUCCCGACUUACCAACUCGAUGCAAACUACGAAUACCGAAGAAUGUUAUCACGGGAGACACACGGCGGGUGCUAACGUUCGUCGUGAAGAGGGAAACAACCCAGACCGCCAGCUAAGGUCCCAAAGUCAUGGUUAAGUGGGAAACGAAGUGGGAAGGCUCAGACAGCCAGGAUGUUGGCUUAGAAGCAGCCAUCAUUUAAAGAAAGCGUAAUAGCUCACUGGUCGAGUCGGCCUGCGCGGAAGAUGUAACGGGGCUAAACCAUGCACCGAAGCUGCGGCAGCGAUAUGUAAAUAUUGUUGGGUAGGGGAGCGUUCUGUAAGCCUGCGAAGGUGUGCUGUGAGGCAUGCUGGAGGUAUCAGAAGUGCGAAUGCUGACAUAAGUAACGAUAAUGCGGGUGAAAAACCCGCACGCCGGAAGACCAAGGGUUCCUGUCCAACGUUAAUCGGGGCAGGGUGAGUCGACCCCUAAGGCGAGGCAGAAAUGCGUAGUCGAUGGGCAACGGGUUAAUAUUCCCGUACUGGUGAUAAUUGCGAUGGGGGGACGGAGAAGGCUAGGCUGGCCGGGCGACGGUUGUCCCGGUUUAAGGAUGUAGGUGGGUGAAUUAGGCAAAUCCGGUUCACUAUACACUGAGGUCUGAUGACGAGUCACUACGGUGGCGAAGUAGCUCAUGCCCCGCUUCCAGGAAAAGCCUCUAAGCUCUAGAUUAUCAUUAAUCGUACCCCAAACCGACACAGGUGGUCAGGUAGAGAAUACUCAGGCGCUUGAGAGAACUCGGGUGAAGGAACUAGGCAAAAUGGUGCCGUAACUUCGGGAGAAGGCACGCUGGCAUUAGGUGAAGUCCCUUGCGGAUGGAGCUGAAGCCAGUCGAAGAUACCAGCUGGCUGCAACUGUUUAUUAAAAACACAGCACUGUGCAAACACGAAAGUGGACGUAUACGGUGUGACGCCUGCCCGGUGCUGGAAGGUUAAUUGAUGGGGUUAUCCGUAAGGAGAAGCUCUUGAUCGAAGCCCCAGUAAACGGCGGCCGUAACUAUAACGGUCCUAAGGUAGCGAAAUUCCUUGUCGGGUAAGUUCCGACCUGCACGAAUGGCGUAAUGAUGGCCAGGCUGUCUCCACCCGAGACUCAGUGAAAUUGAACUCGCUGUGAAGAUGCAGUGUACCCGCGGCAAGACGGAAAGACCCCGUGAACCUUUACUAUAGCUUGACACUGAACAUUGAGCCUUGAUGUGUAGGAUAGGUGGGAGGCUUUGAAGUGUGGACGCCAGUCUGCAUGGAGCCAACCUUGAAAUACCACCCUUUAAUGUUUGAUGUUCUAACGUGGCCCCAUUAUCUGGGGUGCGGACAGUGUCUGGUGGGUAGUUUGACUGGGGCGGUCUCCUCCCAAAGAGUAACGGAGGAGCACGAAGGUUGGCUAAGCAUGGUCGGACAUCAUGCGGUUAGUGCAAAGGCAUAAGCCAGCUUGACUGCGAGAGUGACAGCUCGAGCAGGUACGAAAGUAGGUCUUAGUGAUCCGGUGGUUCUGAAUGGAAGGGCCAUCGCUCAACGGAUAAAAGGUACUCCGGGGAUAACAGGCUGAUACCGCCCAAGAGUUCAUAUCGACGGCGGUGUUUGGCACCUCGAUGUCGGCUCAUCACAUCCUGGGGCUGAAGUAGGUCCCAAGGGUACGGCUGUUCGCCGUUUAAAGUGGUACGCGAGCUGGGUUUAGAACGUCGUGAGACAGUUCGGUCCCUAUCUGCCGUGGGCGUUGGAAGAUUGAAAGGGGCUGCUCCUAGUACGAGAGGACCGGAGUGGACGCACCACUGGUGUUCGGGUUGUCAUGCCAAUGGCAUUGCCCGGUAGCUAAGUGCGGAAGAGAUAACCGCUGAAAGCAUCUAAGCGGGAAACUUGCCUUGAGAUGAGUCUUCCCUGACUCUUUAAGGGUCCUAAAGGAACGUUUAAGACUAAGACGUUGAUAGGUUGGGUGUGUAAGCGUAGCGAUACGUUGAGCUAACCAAUACUAAUGAACCGUGAGGCUUAACCUGACAACACCGAAGGUGUUUUAG
rnacentral:rRNA from 1 species